rnacentral:misc_RNA from 1 species
GUGAAUCAUCAAAUUUUUGAACGCAUAUUGCACUCUCUGGUAUUCCGGAGAGUAUGCCUGUUUGAGGGUAAUUAACCCGAAUCUUUCACCCAUUUUUUUUGGUCCCAGGAAAUGAGCUCUCCGCGUUUAUAGCGGUAGCUUGAAAUAACUGGUCAAGUCUCAUUUUAGUCGCGACGCGUAAUAAUAUUAUUUCGCGAAAUCUUCAUUAUGUGACUAUCAAGUUUUGCUGCCUACAACUUUGCUUUGUAUUCUAUCAAUACAAAUCUUUUGAACCUUACCUCAAAUCAGGU